rnacentral:rRNA from 1 species
GAUGAACGCUGGCGGCGUGCCUAACACAUGCAAGUCGAGCGAUCUUCUUCGGAAGAGAGCGGCGGACGGGUGAGUAACGCGUGGGUAACCUGCCUCAUACACAUGGAUAACAUACCGAAAGGUAUGCUAAUACAAGAUGAUAUAAGAGAUUCGCAUGGGUUUCUUAUCAAAGCUCCGGCGGGAUGAGAUGGACCCGCGUCUGAUUAGCUAGUUGGUAAGGUAACGGCUUACCAAGGCGACGAUCAGUAGCCGACCUGAGAGGGUGCUCGGCCACAUUGGAACUGAGACACGGUCCAAACUCCUACGGGAGGCAGGAGUGGGGAAUAUUGCACAAUGGGCGAAAGCCUGAUGCAGCAACGCCGCGUGAGCGAUGAAGGCCUUCGGGUCGUAAAGCUCUGUCCUCAAGGAAGAUAAUGACGGUACUUGAGGAGGAAGCCCCGGCUAACUACGUGCCAGCAGCCGCCGCGG